UUGGAACCGGGAGAGGUAAGAGGGUACGUACAGGGGUAGGAGUGAAAUCUUGUAAUCCCCUGUGGGACCACCUGUGGCGAAGGCGUCUUACCAGAACGGGUUCGACGGUGAGGGACGAAAGCUGGGGGCACGAACCGGAUUAGGAUACCCGGGUAGUCCCAGCCGUAAACGAUGGCUCGCUAGGUGUCAGGCAUGGCGCGACCGUGUCUGGUGCCGCAGGGAAGCCGUGAAGCGAGCCACCUGGGAAGUACGGCCGCAAGGGCUGAAACUUAAAGGAAUUGGCGGGGGAGCACAACAACGGGUUGGAGCCUGCGGUUUAAUUGGACUCAACGCCGGACAACUCACCGGGGGCGACAGCAAUAUGUAGGCCAAGCUGAAGACUUUGCCUGAAUCGCUGAGGAGAGGUGCAUGG
rnacentral:rRNA from 1 species